UCUCCAUCCAUAUCUCUCUCAUUCUCUCGCUUUCUCCCUCUCUCACGCUCUCCUUCAUUGGUGCUGCUGUCCUCUCAUGCUCUCGCUCCCUCCAUGUAAAAUGCUUGUUUCUAUUAUUUAUUUACUGUCUCUGUGUCUCUGUAUUUAUAUGCACAUGUGAAUGCAGGACCCACAAGAUCUCCCCCCACCGCCCCUAUAGUCGUUUGUCAGCAGCUCGACCUGGAUGUUGGAAACCAAACUCUGGUCCCCUGCAGGAACGGAAGCACCCUCAACCCUCGCCACCUCUCCCGAGCCACCUAAUUUUUCAAAUUAGCAUAAGAUAGUAGAUACCUAUGAUAUUGCCAAACAGUGUGUUAUGAGUCUUCUUCCUCCGUCUCCCUCACUGCUAACUGCUGGUGGUAGUUCCCCUCCCCUAAGUCGCUCUUUCUUCCUUUCUUUCUUUCUUUCUUUCUUUCUUUCUUUCUUUCUUCCUUCCUUCCUUCCUUCCUUCCUUCCUUCCAUUUUCCUUUUUGGUUUUUCAAUACAGGAUUUUUCUAUGUAGCCCUGGCUGUCCUGGAACUCCCUCUGUAGAUCACGCUGGCCUUGAACUCAGAGAUUCACCUGACUCUACCUUUGGAGUGCUGGGAUUAAAGGUAUGCACCACCACCACCCAGCUAAGUCUCUCCCUUUUCUCUUCCCAUAUGCCUUUGCCCUACUCCUCAUUUUCUCUUUACCUAUUAUUACCCCUCUAGGUCUCCUCUCUACUCUUCCAGGCUUUACCCACAAUUAUAUACACAGUGUGAGCCUGUGUGUGUCUGUGUGUCUGUGUGUGUGUUUGUGUGUUUGUGUGUAUCUUGCUUCAUAUUAUACUUUCCAGAUCUAUCCAUUUUCCUUCACAUUUCCUGAUUUGAUUUUUUUACAGCUAAAUACAAUUCUACAUUUAUAGGCUAACCUCAGACCAAGUAUCAGUAUGAUGGCCAUUUUUUUUUCUUCCUCUGCUUAAAAAAUAUAAAUUCGUCUCCUGACUGAUAGCAACAUUAUAAAAUGUGUACAAUAUCUUGGGACAAACAUUCCCCAUGGAUAAAAACUCUGUCCUCGUGCGUUUCAAUGUGUGACAUCAGAAAUACUCCCUACACAAUCCCCUGUGGAACACUGUGGGUCCUAGCUCUGUAAGUGCAGUUCACAUGCACGAACUUUUUGAAUUUAACAGUAUUUAUACAUUCAGAUAUGCAACAACCAGGGAGAAAGUUUCUCCAAUUCUACAGCUAAGAAAACUCAGCAAAUUUGAGUAACUUGCCCAAAGUUACAGAAGUGCCAAGUGCCCAAAUUUGCACUAGAAAACUCGUUGACCCGCAGAGCCAGAUUGUCUCCAGACAGCCUUAAGUGAGAUAAGGAAGUAGAAACAGUAAAUCAGUUAUAGAUGAGAGCUAAGAGAAAGAUGAGGUACAGCUCAGAAAAUGAAUCACUUGAAAUUUCCCAUGCCACCAGUGAGCCCACCCCAAGUAUACUGAGACAUCACUGUCGGACGGAAAGCGAUAGCCCUCUGGGUUAUUGCUGGGCUUCUCUUCCUGAACAUAACCAAGUCCCCUGACCUCUCUAGGUCUCUAAAUCUUAGCUGCACCAGGAGAUGGUCUCUUGGGGCCCUUUCAGUUCUAAAAGAUUCCCCGAGGGUUCUCAGCAGUAGCCUACUUCCGUGCAGUGCGUCACACAGCACCAGAAGGAUGAGAUUAGAUGAUUAAUUACAAAAUUGGGUCAACUGCACCUGCAGGACCACCUGUAGGUCUGGUUUGCAGGGAGUCUACAAGGUAAAGGGAAUGGAUGUGUUACACCUACUGUGUGUGUGUGUGUGUGUGUGUGUGUGUGUGUGUGUGCGCGCGCGCGCGCGCGCGCUAAGUUCCCAAGGCAGGGAUUAUUACGUGAUUGUUGUUGCAUUCUAACAAGCGACCCCCAAACUGUGGCUCAAGAUAAUUUAUUUUAUUUACAGUCUCAGGUCAGGAAUUUGGAAAGAGUCCCGGAGUCACUUAGAGACACACUGGGGUAAAUAUCUAUAAAAUAAUACUGCAGCCAACCCAGGGAGAACAGGACCAGGGAGAGCUGAAAGGGGUAAGAGAGGGUCCUGGUGACAUCACUAGAUAUCUAGCUGGUCCAGGAAAAAUUCAGCCAAAUAGCUGGAGACACCAAAUGCUGGAGAGGACAUGGAGCAAGUGACAUUCUCCUUCAUUACUGUCAAGAGUGGAGAGGGCAGAAUCACUUCUCAGCACAGCUUAGCAGUCUCUUACAACACUCCACAAAGGCAUUCCAUGCAACCCAGAAACAGUGUGGAUUUACCCAAAUUAACCAGCAAUUUAGACCCACACAAAACCUGCAUUUCGAUCCUGAUGGCAGUUUUAUCCAGAACUUUGCAAAAUCUAGAAGCGAUCAAGAUAAGCUCCAAUUGGUGAGUGGGUCAAUAGACAAUGAUCCAGGUGUUUAAGGAAACGAUCGCCAGGUACGGUGGUUCAUACUGCAGUCCUAACACUCAGGAGGUGCCAGAGAAGAAUCGGCAUAGUGAGUUCGAGGCCCAGCUCAUUAUACAAUGGAGAGAACAAAAGGAACUGGGAUGUAGCUCAGCACGAGAGUGCUUGCCAUGAGAGUGCAUGGUCCUGGGAAAGAGACAGAGAGAAGGAGGAAGAGAGUGCAAAAGGAGAAGAGGAAGAAAGGUAGACAAGGUAAGUAAAAGUGUCACGCCAAACAGUUAGCACUAUGUGACAUUCUGGAAAACACUGAGCUUCAGAAGCAAAGCAACAGGGCUUCCAGAGGUCAAUGAGGAACACAGCACAUUUCUAGGGCAGUUUAAAUGUUGUGUAUAAUACUGCUAAAGUAGAUACAAUAUAUAUAUAUAUAUUAUUAAUAUAAUUAUAUAUAUUAUAUAUAUAAUACUUAUCUAUACUAUGUAUUAUCUCUACAGUAUAUCUAUACUGAUAGAGUAGAUGCAUUGAUACAUUUCCCCAAACCUGUAGAUUCACACAAUAUGGAGCCUUAACCCUGAUCUAAAUUAUAGACUUCAAUCAAUAACGAAAUGACCAAUUUAAUUAUAACCAUGCCAGUACAAAUGUACCACAUACCAUGCCAAUGCAGAACGCUAGUCGGGGAAACUGAAGGAGGGAGAGCACUGACAAGAUGGAGAAAUGAAAACUUGCUAUAGUUUUCAACCAACUUUUCUAUAAACCUAACACAACUGUAAAUUAUGAAAUCUAUGUUUCAACAAUCAGAUGGGAUCCCGAGGACACUAGUUCUCACGUGCCGGAGUUAGUCUGUCUCAGGACAACUUGAUCAUAGCUAAGGACAAUUGACAAAGUCUGUUUUUUUAGUGUAAGUAAGCUCAGGUUCAUUUUAAGAGAGAGAGGGGAGGGAUGGAGAGGGAGUUGGAGAAGCAAGAUUCAAAAAUGACAUGAUUAGAUUUCACAUGGUGACUGGCUAGUUGUGGGAUGUAGAGGAGGGGAAAUCAUAGAUGAUAGCUAACUCGUUGUUUGAGCACCUAUGUGGAGAGUGACAUUAAACUCAGGGGAGAGAAGAUAUAUUUUGAAAAUAUUGGGCGUGAGAUGCCUGUGAAGCACUGAAUGGAGAUACAUCACAGGCAGAUGGAUCUGUAUGUGGGUGAGAACAUCAGGGAGUGGUCUAAGUUGGAGAUAAGAGUAGUGGCUGACUGGAAUACAUUGGGAGAAUUAGUAAAGCACACCUCUGGGUGUGUCCAUGAGGCCAUUCUCAGAGGUGGUUGGCAUGGGAGCUGAUAGGGAAAGACCCACUCUGAAUCUGGGCAGGCCUGUGUGGAACAGAAGAAAAAGAAGAAAGCGUUAGAACAGACAUUGGUUGGCUCUCUGCUUCCUGGCUGCUGUGCGGUGAGCAGCUGGGAUUCACCAGACCCUUCCACUAUAGGCAUAGAAACAAUGUGUCUAGAUGUGUCUAUUCAACCACAGAUUUUACAGUCCCAAACUACUAGCCAAAGAGAAACUUUCUUUUAAAUUCUUUAAAAUUCUCUCUCAGAUACUUGCCACGGUCACGGAAAAAUAGCUAAUACGGAGAAGAUUAACAUGUGGAGUCUAAUCGUGUCAUUUUUGAAUCUUGCUUCUCCAACUCUCUACAAUCAACUACCGACUUCUCUGCUCACCUGUGGUGUGGUCAUCCCUACGCCAUUCAUUUCCCGUGACGGGAUAUUAUCUGUAAAAUGCCUUAAAUUUCUAUCAGUGUUUUUUCCAUAAUCUUAGAAAAUCCAAACCCCUCAAAAAAGGCAUGAGACGCUCUCAUGAUGUGUCUCUGCCUGUCCCUCCACUUCACACUCUACCCAAUCCCAUUUUGCAACAACUGUUAGCUUUAGUUCUUCCUCUUACACCCCUACCCCUCCAGUAACCUGACAAUUAGUUCCUACUUAUCCACCUAGAUUCCAUGUCACCUUUCCUGAUGUCAUGCCUCAGGGUAUAGUCUGUCCAGACACUCACUGCCCCAACUUUAUUUAUCCAACUUCCCAACUAGAUUAUUGGCUUCAUGGGAAAGAACUCAUUCUUGGAAGGAAAUAAUCGUGAAUGAUCCUCAAGUGCUCAAGUAUACACUGAAUGAAUAAAAGUCCUCGAGUUUGGAAUCAGUACAUGGAGGUCAAGGGUGGAUCUGUCAGAGAAAGGGCUCCGGUCCUACAGUAAGGAGUUGACUGAACACCCUGUAGCAUCAUGGCUAGUCCUCUCCACCCCUUUGGAAGCUGAGCAGACAAGGCUGGAAAGGAGUAUCAGUGACAAAUGGCCAACACUGGACAGUGUUCCAGACAGAGGGGAGUUUGCCUGGGACCUGUGGAGAUACAUGACAAGCAGGUCCAUCCAGACGAUGCGGAAGUGAAAAACAAAAGGAUCUGCUGCCAUUUGACUGCCGGCACCUAAAGUUAUAUUGAAGCGGAGACAUCCUUCUGCGAACACAGGGAAUGGAUUCUGAGCUGACACACAGACACCAAAAUCCAAAGAAGUUCAAGUGCUUUAUUUAAUGGACGUAAUUUCUGCGCAUAAUCUGCCCCAAUCCACCCACAAAGAUGGUUUCGAGUCUUACUUGGUUACUUAUUGCUGAAAUCUAUGAAAGUCUAGCAUGUUGGCACAUACCUAGAGUCUCAGCACUUUGGAGGUUGAGAGAAGAGGAUACCCAGUUUGAAGCCAGCCGGAUUACAUAGCCAGACUCUGUCUCAAAAAGAGAGACAAAACUGGGGGAGAGGAGAUAGAAAGGGCAGAGAGGGGGAACUUGUAGAGCCCACCUCCAGUGGAAAGACAGGGCAGCAAGUGAGGGAUGGGGCUGCUAUCCCACAGUCAAAACUCUGACCCAUAAUUCUCUCUGUCUGAGAGAACUGCAGAGAUGGAAAUGGAGAAGAACCUGGGGAAGAGAAGCUCCAGGGACAGGCUCAAAGUGGGAUUCCAGCCCAAGGUGAGGCCCCAAUGUCUGACGCUGGUACUGAGGCUAUGGAGCGCUCACAAAAAGGGACCUAACAUGACUGCCCUCCAAAAGACCCAACAAGUAGCUAAAAGAGUCAGAUGCAGAUAUUUGCACCCAACCAAUCAGCAGAGGCUGCUGACCCCUGAGGUUGAAUUGGGAAAAAGCUAGAGGAAGCUAAAGAGGAGGGCAACCCUGUAGGAGGACCAGCAGUCUCAAUUAACCUGGAUUCCCGAGAUCUCUCAGACACUGGACCACCAACCAGGCAGCACACACCAGCUGAGAUGAGGCCCCCAACAUAUACAGCAGAGGACUCCCGGGUCUGGGUUCAGCCAGAGAAGAUGCACCUAACCCUCAAGGGACUGGAGGCCCCAGCAGAUUUAGAGGUUGGUGGGGUGGGUGGGGUGGGGACAUCCUCAUGGAGACGGGGGAGGAGGGGCGGUGGCAGGGAGGAAGUAUGGGAGGGCGGACUAAGAGGGGAAUAAAAUCUGGAGUAUAUAAUUAAUGAAAGAAAGAAAGAAAGAAAGAAAGAAAGAAAGAAAGAAAGAAAGAAAGGAAGGAAGAAAGGAAGAAAGGAAGAAAGGAAGAAAGAAAGGAGGCAGAAAGAGAAAAAGAAAGGAAUAAAGAAAAAGAAAGCAACAGAAAAAUGAUGGAAAUAAAAGGAAAGGAAGGCUAUUAAAUAGUUGCUUUAUUUACUCUGUAGGGGAUACAAGGACAAGUCCCUGCACAUGUUCAGGGCAGGGGCAAACAUCAUGGACCUCAGUACGCACUGAAUGAUCCUUGUGGGGCUGAAUGAAUGGUUGCAGGAUGUGUGGGUUCUGAGUGCUGACUGCCAACACUGCUUAGUUUAACCACAAUCCAGAAGCCCUUGGCUGACUAGCCUUCAACUUUAGAAAGUAGUGUGUGUGAGUACAAGAUUAUAUAGUUCAUACUUCAAUCAGAUGUUCAAAAACAUCUUAUGGACACCAAGUCCUCUACAAAUUGGGGGAGGGAGGCAUUCAAAAUGUUGAAAGUCCAGAAUUAUGAGAGAAAAUGGUAAAAGCCCUCCUGGCAUUGACCCCCACGUACUUCAAAUAGCUCAGAACCUUGCAAAAGUGAUCAAUAUCAGUGUGUGCUUCCUGACUGAUAUUAAAAUCAUGAGGAAAACAUGGCCCCUGUUUUCCUGCUUCUGUCCUGUGUUUUUCCUAAAUCGUUUAAAGUCCAAGGCAGGUAGUUGCUCUUUCUGAAACAGCACUGGGACCAUAUCAAUGAUUAGGCUCAUACAGAAAAACCAAAGCACAAAGGCUUUAGUUUCUAUGGGCAGCAAAUGGCAAUGAAACAGACAGAUUGGCUGGGGAGAUGAAAAGCACAUUUUCCUCUGGCUCAGUUCACUAGGGAAGGAAGUGUUCUUAGUCUUUCAUCUUAAGCCUGGUGGGGAUACGGUUUAUUCUUCCAGAGGAAAGUGAUCCUGACUUCUACCCCUUCUUCACAAUCUUAAAUUAUUUCCGUAGAUUUCUAGAAAAAGGGGAUAGAUCACAAAGACAUUGGCAGUGCUGAGCAAAGGCUAAAUGGUAAGAACAUAUAAAAAUGAGAAGUUCUGUGUCGUGAGUCCCGCCCCUUGGUUUUGCUUUGUGGGCUGAUUCUCCUUUUCAUGUAUUCAAAAAUCCUAUAAAAGGGCUGGAGGGAUGGCUCAGUGGUUAAGAGCAUUAGCUACUCUUCCAGAGGACCUGGGUUUGAAUCCUAGCACCUCCAUGGCCGCUCACAACCAUCUGUAACUCCACCUCCUGGAAAUCAAAUGUCCUCUGCUGGCCCCCAAAAACAAUGCAUGUCCAUGGUGUGCAGACAGGCAUGCAAGGAAAAGAUUAACGUAUACACAUCAAAUAAAAAUAAAUUUGAAAAGUGGAUCUUAUUAAGGUGUUGGAGGUGUGAGUGAGUACCUGUCUAGCAUGUUCGAGGCAUAAGUUUGAUCCCCAGAACCAUAAGAAUCUGUGAAAAUAUUGGGCAAACAUGAUAGCCCACCUAUAACACAGAACAAAUUGGCUAGCUGGGUGAGUUCUGGGUUUGAUUAAUUUAGCUGGACCAGCCUGUGUGGGUGAGUUCUGGGUUUGACUAAUAGACCUGUCUCAAGGAGCAAGG